UGCGUAGGCGGCUUUUUAAGUCGGAUGUGAAAUCCCUGAGCUUAACUUAGGAAUUGCAUUCGAUACUGGAAAGCUAGAGUAUGGGAGAGGAUGGUAGAAUUCCAGGUGUAGCGGUGAAAUGCGUAGAGAUCUGGAGGAAUACCGAUGGCGAAGGCAGCCAUCUGGCCUAAUACUGACGCUGAGGUACGAAAGCAUGGGGAGCAAACA
rnacentral:rRNA from 1 species